GGUGGCUCAGUGGUAGAGCGCUUGCUUUGCAUGCAUGAAGAUCUGGAUUCGAUUCCUCAGCACCA
rnacentral:tRNA from 1 species